UGUGUUUUGGAAGUUGUUUGGAGGGAGGCUGGGAGGAGAGAGAGGGAGGGCGAAAAGAGGAAGAGGAGAGGGAGGAGGUACACAAACUCCCUGAGAACAGGAGUCAGUGAGUGGGAGAAAGCGAACAGGCACCGCAGGAGGAGCAGUUGCAGUCCUACAUACACGGCUGCUGAUCUGCUGAGAGAGUCAGAUUACCUCCAAACACCCAGUGCUGGUCUGAACUGGAUCAGAGCUAAUUAGAUGAGGAGGAGGCUGAGACCAGCAGGCAAAGAAACUUCAGAAAAGAAUAACAACGAAUGAGAAGAGGGGGAGGGUGAAAACAAGAAGAAGAAGUAGUGGUCUGUGAAACAUCGUGGGGACGGUUUUGUGUAUAGAGCUGAGUUGGGUUCUCCAUGCACAGAAGAGUUGACAUGUGGAAACAGUGACGCUCUUAAAGUGAAGCACAUUCACUUCAGAGGUGCGGCUGUGCGAGUUCUGUGAAGACCUGAGGCUUUUUGUCAUAUCUGCGCGUGGGACCUGCAUCUGGGAGUCAGCAUGGCGGAGGUGAAAGAGGAGGUGCUGGAUAUUCUUCAGAAGGUGUGGAUCAAACUGCAGGGGCUCCCACAGGCCAGUUAUCUGGAGCUGGGGGCCUUCCUUGUGAUCAUCCUGUUUGUUGCCACGUUCCUGUUCUUGAUCGUGUUGUCCUGCGCCCAAUGCUUCUGCUGUGGAAAGCCAAAACACCCUGCCACCAGAGUACAGCCUGUCUGAGGAUGAGACAGAGAGCGGACUCCCCAAGUAAAUUCAACCUCCAUCCUUUCCCCAUCCUUCGUGUAACCAUCCCACGCACACAGUUACAAAACGGGGAAUGCUCUUUUACAGAGUCGUUGAAUUUCUUGGAGGAGGAGGACGGGGGGGACAUGAUGUUCCAGCAACCCGGGAUAAAGACUUGGAUCCUCAUCCAGAGAGCCAUGCCACUAUAAAUCAGCAGAUUCAUCUCAGACCAGGACAAUGAAAUACUGUGUGGCGGCCUUUUCCCAACAAUAAAAAAACUUUACAGUGGACCAGUGGAUUGAGAGGAUACAGGGAGAGAGCUGAGUUGGGUCUCCGUUAUUACAAAUGGACCAGUUUGCUGUCCUGUUUAUAUUCAAGGGAAUUGAAAAACAUGCAGACAUUCCAACUUGUGUAGUAUACAAACUUGCCAGUGAAAAAAAGACAGAGCGCCCUCUGGUGGCCAAGUGAAGGGCUUCUAUUUUCUUCCUCAACAUGCCAAUUGAAAAUAUGACCCGUUCAUUGUUUGACAUGCAACCGUUACAGAUGUCUUCUUGUUAUAUUACAUAGUUGUUGUGUUUUUUUUGUGUGUUUUUAUUAACGGAGGCAUUGCAAUAUUGCAUUUGUGGAUGCAACUGAAAUGUAAAAAAUGUUCAAUAUAUAUUAAAAAAACAAAUAUAAUACGGACUAGUUUCUUAUUACACGAUCAAAUGUAAAGAUUGAACUAUCUAAGCAUGGUUUGAUCCCCCAUCUAAACCCUGUAUGACUUUAUUCCAAUAACUGCUUCUCCUUUGCUUCAAGAUAAGCGUUGCUCUAAAUCCCACCAGUAAAACACUGCACUUCUGUGUGCAUAUCUUAUUACCAGUCAAUAUUUUCAGUAAACAUUAACCAGAAGCUGCUGCUUUUACUUUGCCCUGCCCACACAAAGGCACUGAAGGUGUCAGCAGAGUCGGAGCCAUUGGAGUUUCACAGAAUGCCUCCGCGGUGCACAAACUGGUAGUAAACUGUAAUGUUUGGGACAGUUCCAGGGCUGCCAGUGGAUCGGAGCCGUAGCUGAAACCACCUGUUCUCACACACAGUAUAUUCAGCCACUGUUAGGAGUCACCGAGCCGUGAGAGGACCACUUAGCGGGACAUGGCCGUGGAGAGUGUUUCGGAGCAGCAGACACCCACAGGGUGGCCUGAGGACUGGGUGGAAUGGUUCCUGCACCGGCUGCGUCAGGAGCCCUGGGCCCUGGGCGGUGCUGUGGUCAUAGGAGUGUUUGUGCUGGGAACUCUGUCUCUGGUCGUCUUCGCUCUGCUGUACGGAUGCUGCUGCGGCCAUCAGGGAGAGAACCAGAAGAAGAAGAAGAAGAAGAAGGAUGGGGUGAUCUAGACGCUUGUGAAGAGAGCUGACUCAUACUGUUAAAUGAUCGUCGACCUGAAUUUGUCAAAAUGUACCUGUCCACGUUUGUCAUUUCUUUGAGAUGUGGCGGAAGUGGGACCCAUUUCUCUGCUGUUUUUCCAUUUCUGUAUUUGUGCCGGGUGACACCAUAAAGAGAGUGGGAUGAAAUCUUCCGUCAUUUAAUUUCACAUGAACUUAAAUGUGUUGUCAGUUAGCUUCAUGAACUCUUCAGCCAACAGGCUUCAGUAUUAUGU